rnacentral:rRNA from 1 species
CCCUUAGAUGUCCGGGGCCGCACGCGCGCUACAAUGGAUGAAUCAACGCGUCAUCCUGGCCCGAAAGGGUUGGGGAACCGCUGAACCUCAUCCGUGGUUGGGAUUGGGGUUUGUAAUUAUCCCCCAUGAACGAGGAAUUCCCAGUAAGCGCGAGUCAUCAGCUCGCGUUGAUUACGUCCCUGCCCUUUGUACACACCGCCCGUCGCUACUACCGAUUGGAUGGUUUAGUGAGACCCUCGGAUCGGUCCCGACUCGGGGUGGGCUUCUGCCCCGGUCGUGGUUUCGCCGAGAAGACGGUCAAACUUGACUAUCUAGAGGAAGUAAAAGUCGUAACA